GAUGAACGCUGGCGGCGUGCCUAAUACAUGCAAGUCGAGCGAAUGGAUUAAGAGCUUGCUCUUAUGAAGUUAGCGGCGGACGGGUGAGUAACACGUGGGUAACCUGCCCAUAAGACUGGGAUAACUCCGGGAAACCGGGGCUAAUACCGGAUAAUAUUUUGAACUGCGUGGUUCAAAAUUGAAAGGCGGCUUCGGCUGUCACUUAUGGAUGGACCCGCGUCGCAUUAGCUAGUUGGUGAGGUAACGGCUCACCAAGGCAACGAUGCGUAGCCGACCUGAGAGGGUGAUCGGCCACACUGGGACUGAGACACGGCCCAGACUCCUACGGGAGGCAGCAGUAGGGAAUCUUCCGCAAUGGACGAAAGUCUGACGGAGCAACGCCGCGCGAGUGAUGAAGGCUUUCGGGUCGUAAAACUCUGUUGUUAGGGAAGAACAAGUGCUAGUUGAAUAAGCUGGCACCUUGACGGUACCUAACCAGAAAGCCACGGCUAACUACGUGCCAGCCGCCGCGGUAA
rnacentral:rRNA from 1 species